UUCCAACAUCAGCAAAUCAUGUGGCUUGCGGGCUGCAGGUUGCCCACCACUGGACUAGAUGACUUGAUGGUCCCUUUUGGCCUUAAACUCUAUGGACAGAGUGGGGCAUGUAUCUGCAGAGUUACUGCAGGUGGGGAGGUUGCAGAAUCUGGACUGGUGAGGUCAGCGAUGGACACCAACAGUGGAUCACAGGUGUUGAAGACAGACCAGCGCUCAGUGACUGCAAGCACAGGGAUUGUGACAGGCAUGUGGAC